rnacentral:lncRNA from 1 species
UCCUGACUUGGUUGAUAAUUGAGUUUGAUUGAAUUCAUAUAUUUAUAAUAUAUACACUUAAAUCGUAUUGGUUGUAUUCUUACAGAAAAGAGUUAGUUUAUCGUAUUUUAUACAUGUACUUUCCGUUUUAUGAUUUAGAGUUGUAUCCCUUUGUACACUGUACUGUCUAUGUAUUUACGUUUUGUUAUUUGUGUACUUUCAGGGUUAAUUUAUUUAUGUCGUAUGAAUAAAACAUCUUAAACUUGACGAUUCAUUUCAUUCUGUCCAAGAACCCUAUUACAUUCAUAUCAUUAGAGUCUUUUAUUCUGUAAGAAAGUAAUUCAACUAAUAAAACAAACAAUAGAGUGCUGACAGGACAUCUUUGUCAAAUUCCGCGUACAAUGUCAAAUGUUUCUGAAAUCCACCCAUUAUUUCAGAUACAUCCUUUUAUGUCCUGAUACAGAAUUUUGACUUUUGAUGGUAGAUUAUUAAGGUAGCACAAUACAAAGAUUUUUAAUACCCAAUCAGAAAUCUUUAAACUGAUGUAAUUCCACUCAUCCUUCUUU